rnacentral:rRNA from 1 species
GUGGGGAAUAUUGGACAAUGGGCGCAAGCCUGAUCCAGCCAUGCCGCGUGAGUGAUGAAGGCCUUAGGGUUGUAAAGCUCUUUCAGUAGGGAAGAUAAUGACGGUACCUACAGAAGAAGCCCCGGCUAACUUCGUGCCAGCAGCCGCGGUAAUACGAAGGGGGCUAGCGUUGUUCGGAUUUACUGGGCGUAAAGCGCACGUAGGCGGAUUGGUCAGUUAGAGGUGAAAUCCCGGAGCUCAACUUCGGAACUGCCUUUAAUACUGCCAGUCUCGAGUCCGGAAGAGGUGAGUGGAACUCCUAGUGUAGAGGUGGAAUUCGUAGAUAUUAGGAAGAACACCAGUGGCGAAGGCGGCUCACUGGUCCGGUACUGACGCUGAGGUGCGAAAGCGUGGGGAGCAAACAGGAUUAGAAACCCUUGUAGUCC